CCUACGGGGGGCUGCAGUGGGGAAUUUUGGACAAUGGGCGCAAGCCUGAUCCAGCUAUUCCGCGUGUGGGAAGACGGCCUUCGGGUUGUAAACCACUUUUGUAGAGAACGAAAAGUCUGUUGAUAAUACCGAUAGAUGAUGACGGUACUCUAAGAAUAAGCACCGGCUAACUACGUGCCAGCAGCCGCGGUAAUACGUAGGGUGCGAGCGUUAAUCGGAAUUACUGGGCGUAAAGGGUGUGCAGGCGGUGUUGCAAGAUGGAUGUGAAAGCCCCGGGCUUAACCUGGGAAAGCCAUACAUGACUGCAAGACUAGAGUGCGUCAGAGGGGAGUGGAAUUCCAAGUGUAGCAGUGAAAUGCGUAGAUAUUUGGAAGAACACCGAUGGCGAAGGCAGCCCCCUGGGACGCAACUGACGCUCAUACACGAAAGCGUGGGGAGCAAACAGGAUUAGAUACCCGGGUAGUC
rnacentral:rRNA from 1 species